rnacentral:rRNA from 1 species
GUGAGGAAUAUUGGUCAAUGGACGCAAGUCUGAACCAGCCAUGCCGCGUGCAGGAUGACGGCUCUAUGAGUUGUAAACUGCUUUUGUACGAGGGUAAACGCAGAUACGUGUAUCUGUCUGAAAGUAUCGUACGAAUAAGGAUCGGCUAACUCCGUGCCAGCAGCCGCGGUAAUACGGAGGAUUCAAGCGUUAUCCGGAUUUAUUGGGUUUAAAGGGUGCGUAGGCGGUUUGAUAAGUUAGAGGUGAAAUUUCGGGGCUCAACCCUGAACGUGCCUCUAAUACUGUUGAGCUAGAGAGUAGUUGCGGUAGGCGGAAUGUAUGGUGUAGCGGUGAAAUGCUUAGAGAUCAUACAGAACACCGAUUGCGAAGGCAGCUUACCAAACUAUAUCUGACGUUGAGGCACGAAAGCGUGGGGAGCAAACAGGA